rnacentral:rRNA from 1 species
AAGCUGGAGCUUGCUCCGGCCGAUUUAGUGGCGGACGGGUGAGUAACGCGUGGGUAACCUGCCUCAUACAGGGGGAUAGCAGUUGGAAACGACUGGUAAAACCGCAUAAGCGCACAGGAUUGCAUGAUCCAGUGUGAAAAACUCCGGUGGUAUGAGAUGGACCCGCGUCUGAUUAGCCAGUUGGCGGGGUAACGGCCCACCAAAGCGACGAUCAGUAGCCGGCCUGAGAGGGUGACCGGCCACAUUGGGACUGAGAUACGGCCCAGACUCC